GUGGGGAAUCUUGCGCAAUGGGCGAAAGCCUGACGCAGCCAUGCCGCGUGAAUGAUGAAGGUCUUAGGAUUGUAAAAUUCUUUCACCGGGGACGAUAAUGACGGUACCCGGAGAAGAAGCCCCGGCUAACUUCGUGCCAGCAGCCGCGGUAAUACGAAGGGGGCUAGCGUUGCUCGGAAUUACUGGGCGUAAAGGGCGCGUAGGCGGUUUGGUAAGUGUGAUGUGAAAGCCCCGGGCUCAACCUGGGAAUUGCCUCACAUACUGCUAAGCUAGAGUACGGGAGAGGGGGGUAGAAUUCCACGUGUAGCGGUGAAAUGCGUAGAGAUGUGGAGGAAUACCGGUGGCGAAGGCGGCCCCCUGGAUCGAUACUGACGCUGAGGUGCGAAAGCGUGGGGAGCAAACAGGAUUAGAUACCCGUGUAGUCC
rnacentral:rRNA from 1 species